GUGCCUUUAUAAGACUGCGUCAAUGGUCCCGUGGAGUUAUCCCUUCUGUUGAUGUUUAUUGAUUGUCAAACAUGGCUUCAUUUGCAAAGGUGGUUGUGUGUGUCCUCAUUGCUUGUGUCUGUAAUGCAUUCGGUUUUCCGAAGAGAGAUGUGAACUUUAAGGCCUCUGCAGUUGACCGCCAAAGUGAUGAUGUGGUUGUCACCACAACACCCGUUCCCCACAACCAGACCACCUCUGCCCCUACUGAAGCUGGUGAUGGAGCAAGUGAAGAUGCUGUGGCUACCACCCCAACACCAAAUCCCCCAACUACAUCUGACCACACUGCAGCUACCGUAUCCCAUACGACUGAAGUCUGAUUCGACUGCUCCUCUGGUCACAAUGACCUGUCUGGACUUUUUGCCUCUACAUUUUGACUGCAAUAAAGGACAGAUUUGUAUUUUUUAAUCAAAUGUUGUCUUGCCUUUUUCGAAUUGAGGCCUUGUCCUGUUUUGGUAGUGGAGAUGACUAUGAAGCCUCUUUCCUAACGUAUUUCCUGUAGUGGUUUUACUAUAUGCUUCAUGCAACAAGGCCUUCAACGACUCUACAAUUUAAAAGCAUCUAGUUGUGUCUGAAUUUGUAAAAUGGUUGAACUGGUAGUGAUGCACUAUAAUGGUGAACUGCUUGUGGCAUUUCAAUAAUCUCUACUGUACUGUUUGACAUGUACAUCUCAAGUGAAUUUGCGUGGUAAUUGGUAAACUGAUGUCCGUCCCUACUAAGGGAGUACUGGCCUUAGUAGGCCAACCCCCUGAAAGGCAUUCAAACAAUAACA
ensembl:lncRNA